UACGUAGGGUGCAAGCGUUGUCCGGAAUUAUUGGGCGUAAAGAGCUCGUAGGCGGUUUGUCGCGUCUGCUGUGAAAACCCGAGGCUCAACCUCGGGCCUGCAGUGGGUACGGGCAGACUAGAGUGCGGUAAGGGAGAUUGGAAUUCCUGGUGUAGCGGUGGAAUGCGCAGAUAUCAGGAGGAACACCAAUGGCGAAGGCAGAUCUCUGGGCCGUAACUGACGCUGAGGAGCGAAAGCGUGGGGAGCGAACAGG
rnacentral:rRNA from 1 species